UACGUAGGGUGCGAGCGUUGUCCGGAAUUAUUGGGCGUAAAGGGCUCGUAGGCGGUUUGUCGCGUCGGGAGUGAAAACCUCGGGCUUAACUCGGGGCUUGCUUUCGAUACGGGCAGACUGGAGGUAUGCAGGGGAGAACGGAAUUCCUGGUGUAGCGGUGAAAUGCGCAGAUAUCAGGAGGAACACCGGUGGCGAAGGCGGUUCUCUGGGCAUUACCUGACGCUGAGGAGCGAAAGCAUGGGUAGCGAACAGG
rnacentral:rRNA from 1 species